rnacentral:rRNA from 1 species
AAUGAACGCUGGCGGCAUGCCUAACACAUGCAAGUCGAACGAAACCUCCGGGUCCUGUGGCGCAUGGGUGUGUAACGCGUCGGAACCUGCCCUUAUGUACGGCAUAACUCUCCGACAGGGGUGCUAAUACCGGACAAUGUCUUCGGACCAAUGAUUUAUCGCAUUUGUAUGGGCGCUCGUUGGAUUAGCUGGUUGGUAGGGUAAAAGCCUACCAAGGCGCCGAUCCAUAGCUGGUCUGAGAGGAAGGUCACCCACUCUGCGACUAAGACACGGCCCGGACUCUUACGGAAGGGGGCAGAGGGGGAUGUUGCACAGUGGGGGGAGGGCUGAACCAGCAAGGCCGCGUAAGUGAUGAAGGCCUGAGGGUAGAAAAGCUCUUUUACCCGUGAUGGUAAUGACGGUACCGGGAGAAUAAGCACCGGCUAACUACGUG